UACGAAGGGGGCUAGCGUUGCUCGGAAUCACUGGGCGUAAAGGGCGCGUAGGCGGCUUAUCAAGUCGGGGGUGAAAGCCCGUGGCUCAACCACGGAAUGGCCUUCGAUACUGGUAGGCUUGAGACCGGAAGAGGACAGCGGAACUGCGAGUGUAGAGGUGAAAUUCGUAGAUAUUCGCAAGAACACCAGUGGCGAAGGCGGCUCACUGGCCCGGUACUGACGCUGAGGUGCGAAAGCGUGGGGAGCAAACAGG
rnacentral:rRNA from 1 species